rnacentral:ribozyme from 1 species
GCAGAGGGGCGGGAGCAAUCCCGCUAAUGCACAAGCCAAGUCCCAAGUCUUG